UACAGAGGGGCAAGCGUUGUUCGGAAUUACUGGGCGUAAAGGGCGCGUAGGCGGCCUUCUAAGUCGAACGUGAAAUCCCCGGGCUCAACCCGGGAACUGGCGUCCGAGUACUGGAAGGCUUGAAUCCGGGAGAGGGAUGCGGAAUUCCGAGGUGUAGCGGUGAAAUGCGUAGAUAUCUGGAGGAACACCGGUGGCGAAGGCGGCGAGUCC
rnacentral:rRNA from 1 species